rnacentral:lncRNA from 1 species
CGGGGGUCGUAGGCCAGGGCGCUGGGCUGGCUGGGGAAGCCAUGCUCCACCGUCUUGCUGAAGGCGAAGAGGUCGUGGCGGAGCCGCUCGCGGUGCGGCUCGGCGCCCUGCCGCCGGAACCGAAACUUCAUCAUGGUGGGGCCGGCGGGGCUCGGUUCGGUACCGGGAGGCGGCGGGCGGGGCCGGUGAUCCCGGGGCAGACGCUCCCGCUGCCGGCGGUGCCGCUCCCGGUCGCGGUGCCGGUCCGGUGCCGGUCCCGGUGCGGGCGCCCCCCCCCGCUCCGAGCGCCGAGCGCCGCGCGCCGAGCCCCGGGCAGGCACCGCCGCGGCGGGGCGGGGUGUGGCCCUGACGGACAGCGCGUCCCGCCAAUCAGCGCGCGUCCGCACGCACGGCGCAGCGGCGCCCUCCUUUCUGCGCUGCGCAUGCGCCGGCGCAGGGGGUGCUGGGAGUUGUAGUUCGCUCUCCCGCAGCCCUUCACGGCAGCCAAUAGGUUUCUCCCUUUUUUUUUUUUUUUUCCUCCCUCAUUCUUUCGCAUUUUUUUUUUUCUCUUCAGGGUUGGGCCGAGGGGCGGCGGGGGCACCUCCAGGCCGCUCAUCCUGGCCGCGGAGGGUGCCGGGGCUCACCGCACGGAGCGGCCCAGGGCAGGCCUCACCCGCGGGGCCGCAGGGCCCGGUCCGGCUGAGUCAGGCGGGCGCCGCGCUCAGGGCUGGGCCAGCACUCCCCGCUGAGUAACAGCGGGCCGCCCGCACGCUGCGGGGCUGCGAGGCCUCGUGCCUCGGUUUCCCUCUUCAGGUUCCCUCCAGGGGCAGGUUGGGCCUUUGGGGUGGGGCCAGGGACGGCGGGCAGCCAGCAGCGGUCCUGGCACCCCUACUGUGAAAGGUUCUUGUGGGGCGAACAGAGGAACGCGAUGGUACCCGUGUGGGGACAGAACGGGAGCUCGGCCAGGAACUACAGAACCGUUCUGUUUGGAAAAACCCUCUCAGGUCACCACGUCCAACCCCGGGCCAUCCAUACCAUGACACCAAACCACGUCCCUCAGUGCCACACCUCAGCGGUCCUUCAACACCUCCAGUGACCCCUCCGCACCCCGGGCAGCAGCGCCUGACCGCUCUGUGGGUGCAAUCUGUGCCUGUGGAGGAGGAGGAAGUAGAACAGGAGGAAGAAGAACAGGAGGAAGGACACCACGGCAGGCAGCACACAGCCCCUCUCACAGGAGGAAGGUGCGGGGCAGGGCCCACGAGGGGCCCCAGCGAAGCCAAAGCACAGAACCACAGCACCUCAGCACCAGAGCGUGGUGGGAGGACGGGGACAUCUUCAGCACCCGCACCAGGGGGAACCAAAGCAGAGGACCAGGCAGGGAGCACCCACUGCAGCCCCAUCCUGGUUUCCAGGGCAGCACGCGUUCCUCCCAGAGCUCCCCUUUAUUUAGAAGCACUCCCCUCUCCCGCAGCGAUCCCAGCCCCACCCCACAGGCAGGCACAGCGAUGCUUUCUGCUUUUAUUCAAUUAAUGCAGCAAUCUAUACAAGAAAAAAAAUAAUAAUAAUGAAACCAUGAAAUUCCAAACCCUGACAGUGAAGAACCAAAUUCUUCCUAAGAAUCAACCAGAAUUAAAAGUAUCUCCCUGCGUCAGACUGUACAUAAAAUAAUCUCUGCCCCAUUUACAGCGUUUCACACAGUACUUCUCGUAUCUCAAACUUCAGAACUGUACAACUUUGUUACAAACCACGCUUUUUCCUAGGAAAAGCUUACAGAAAAAAAUAUUGCCACUUUCUUUUUUUUUUUUUAAUUUUUUUUUUUAAUUAUUUGUAACCAAAAAAAUUAGAAUCUUAUAAAACAAAAUUAAAGUCAGCCAGAACUCGUAAGUGUGGGCAGGGGGGGGGCAGGAAGGAGCAGAGACACAGUUCUGGGCUCAGCAUUUCUCCUCCUCGCCAGGAAAAGGAAGGCGAUUGGCAGACAAAAGACAAUUUGCCACUGGAUGGGGGGCCAGACCCCACGGCCGUGCCCCGAGCCCCCCUCCAGUCCAUUCCUAGCCAUGGGUUUGGAUUGAGACAUCUCUGAAGCCAGCAUGAGUGGCCGGUGGUGUCCCAGCCCUGAGUUCAGGGCUAGAUGUGGAAACUGGGGCUUCCCCGCUGCCUGCACGCUGCAGGGAGGUGGAAAUCACAGCUGGCAGCCUCCACCAGGCUCUGACAGCCCCUCCCUGAGCCAGCUCACCUCUCACUGCUGGCAAACAGCCCCAGGUUCUCUUCCAGAGGACAAGUGAAGCCUACACAACCAACACAAGAGCCUUAGUUGGACCGCCAAGUCUUCUCAAUACGCAGGUAAGGGCAGCAAACCCAAAUUCCUCCCUUUGCAGAAAAGCAGGGACAACUCCCAUCUACCUCCCCCUUCCUUAGGAAAGACAGUUCUCAUGGUCUGGGCUGUGGGUCUGAGUGCUUGUGGGGUCAUCACAUCGUACACAGCCUUAUGCCCCUGGAGGGGUGAGCAGGUUACACAGACAGCACGCUGCAGGUGGAUGGAGAGGAGUUGGGACUGCAUUGCUGAACUACAUGAAGACAAAGAAGCAGACUUGGUCAGGCCUGCACGUAAGCCCAUCUCCACACCAGACUCACACCACUGGUCUGAUGGAAGCCUUCACACAGCCAGGACAGAGAACAGGUAUGGGCAUCAGCAGUGUUUUGAGCCACAGAUUUAACAAACAAGUCACAGUAAGGGAUCUAGACAUCUGGAUCCACGUGAAAAAUGUGUCUUCUUGUUUCAAAUCAAGGUUUCACCCCAAUGUUGUUCAGUG